rnacentral:rRNA from 1 species
UACGGGGGGGGCAAGCGUUGUUCGGAAUUACUGGGCGUAAAGGGCUCGUAGGUGGCCAACUAAGUCAGACGUGAAAUCCCUCGGCUUAACCGGGGAACUGCGUCUGAUACUGGAUGGCUUGAGUUUGGGAGAGGGAUGCGGAAUUCCAGGUGUAGCGGUGAAAUGCGUAGAUAUCCGGAGGAACACCGGUGGCGAAGGCGGCUUCCUGGACCGACACUGACGCUGAGGUGCGAAAGCGUGGGGAGCAAACAGG